CAAUAGCGUAUAUUAUAGUUGUUGCAGUUAAAAAGCUCGUAGUUGGACUUCUGAUGUUGGGAUUCGGUCCACCGCAAGGUGAGCACUGAUGUUCUGAUGUCUUCCUCUCGUAGUUGUUUGGCGCACUUGAUUGGGUGCCGAAUGAAUAUGGGACCUUUACUUUGAAAAAUUAGAGUGUUCAAAGCAGGCGAUCGCUUGAAUACAUUAGCAUGGAAUAAUAGAAUAGGACUUUGGUUCUAUUUUGUUGGUUUCUAGGACCGAAGUAAUGAUUAAUAGGGACAGUUGGGGGCAUUAGUAUUUAAUUGUCAGAGGUGAAAUUCUUGGAUUUAUGAAAGACUAACUACUGCGAAAGCAUUUGCCAAGGAUGUUUUCAUUAAUCAAGAACGAAAGUUAGGGAUCGAAAGACGUAGUAGUAGUACCUAACCUACUCGUAGAACGUACGUCCGAACCGGAACGGACCAACCAACGGGGAAGGGGUAAGGUA
rnacentral:rRNA from 1 species